rnacentral:rRNA from 1 species
CCUACGGGUGGCAGCAGUGAGGAAUAUUGGUCAAUGGACGAGAGUCUGAACCAGCCAAGUAGCGUGAAGGAUGACUGCCCUAUGGAUUGUAAACUUCUUUUAUAUGGGAAUAAAAUGUUCCACGUGUGGGAUUUUGUAUGUACCAUAUGAAUAAGGAUCGGCUAACUCCGUGCCAGCAGCCGCGGUAAUACGGAGGAUCCGAGCGUUAUCCGGAUUUAUUGGGUUUAAAGGGAGCGUAGGUGGAUUGUUAAGUCAGUUGUGAAAGUUUGCGGCUCAACCGUAAAAUUGCAGUUGAAACUGGCAGUCUUGAGUACAGUAGAGGUGGGCGGAAGUCGUGGUGUAGCGGUGAAAUGCUUAGAUAUCACGAAGAACUCCGAUUGCGAAGGCAGUUCACUGGACUGCAACUGACACUGAGGCUCGAAAGUGUGGGUAUCAAACAGGAUUAGAUACCCCUGUAGUC